rnacentral:rRNA from 1 species
UACGUAGGGUGCAAGCGUUACUCGGAAUUACUGGGCGUAAAGCGUGCGCAGGCGGUUAUAUAAGACAGAUGUGAAAUCCCCGGGCUCAACCUGGGAACUGCAUUUGUGACUGUAUAGCUAGAGUACGGCAGAGGGGGAUGGAAUUCCGCGUGUAGCAGUGAAAUGCGUAGAUAUGCGGAGGAACACCGAUGGCGAAGGCAAUCCCCUGGGCCUGUACUGACGCUCAUGCA